rnacentral:rRNA from 1 species
ACAAUGGAGAGUUUGAUCCUGGCUCAGGAUGAACGCUAGCUACAGGCUUAACACAUGCAAGUCGAGGGGAAACGAUAUUGGAAGCUUGCUUCCGAUAGGCGUCGACCGGCGCACGGGUGAGUAACGCGUAUCCAACCUGCCCAUCACUUGGGGAUAACCUUGCGAAAGUAAGACUAAUACCCAAUGAUAUCUCAAGAAGACAUCUGAAUGAGAUUAAAGAUUUAUCGGUGAUGGAUGGGGAUGCGUCUGAUUAGCUUGUUGGCGGGGUAACGGCCCACCAAGGCGACGAUCAGUAGGGGUUCUGAGAGGAAGGUCCCCCACAUUGGAA